UCAAGUGACUAAGUGUAUGUGGUGGAUGCCUUGGCGAUCACAGGCGAAGAAGGACGUAGUAGCUUGCGAUAAGCUGCGGGGAGCCGGCAAACGGGCAUUGAUCCGCAGAUUUCCGAAUGGGGGAACCCACCGACGUAAGUCGGUAUCACACACUGAAUACAUAGGUGUGUGAGGCGAACGGAGCGAACUGAAACAUCUAAGUAGCUCCAGGAAAAGAAAUCAACCGAGAUUGCGAAAGUAGCGGCGAGCGAAAUCGCAGCAGCCCAGUGUUCUGAUAGCACGAACGACAGCAGAAAGGUCUGGAAAGGCCUGCUAUAGAGGGUGAUAGCCCCGUAUGCGAAAUCGAACGUGUGGUACUAAGGAACCGAUAAGUAGGGCGGGACACGUGACAUCCUGUCUGAAGAUGGGGGGACCAUCCUCCAAGGCUAAAUACUCGUGAUCGACCGAUAGUGAACCAGUACUGUGAAGGAAAGGCGAAAAGAACCCCGGGAGGGGAGUGAAAUAGAACCUGAAACCGCAUACAUACAAACAGUAGGAGCCCCUGCAGUGGGGUGACUGCGUACCUUUUGCAUAAUGGGUCAGCGACUUACGUUUUGUGGCGAGCUUAACCGAGUAGGGGAGGCGUAGCGAAAGCGAGUUCGAAUAGAGCGAGAAGUCUCAAGGCGUAGACCCGAAACCAGAUGAGCUAUCCAUGGCCAGGUUGAAGGUGUGGUAACACACACUGGAGGACCGAACCGACUAGUGUUGCAAAAUUAGCGGAUGAGCUGUGGAUAGGGGUGAAAGGCUAAACAAAUCUGGAGAUAGCUGGUUCUCCCCGAAAACUAUUGAGGUAGUGCCUCGUGUAUGACUCCAGGGGGUAGAGCACUGUUAUGGCUAGGGGGACAUGGCGUCUUACCAAACCAUGGCAAACUCCGAAUACUUGGAAGUUUGAGCACGGGAGACAGAGCACCGGGUGCUAACGUCCGGACUCAAAAGGGAAACAACCCAGACCGCCGGCUAAGGUCCCAAAUAUUGACUAAGUGGAAAACGAAGUGGGAAGGCUAAGACAGUCAGGAAGUUGGCUUAGAAGCAGCCAUCCUUCAAAGAAAGCGUAAUAGCUCACUGAUCGAGUCCUCAUGCGCGGAAGAUGUAACGGGGCUAAGUCAAUAACCGAAAGCGCGGAUUUGCACGAUAAGUGCAAGUGGUAGGGGAGCGUUCUGUAAGCCUGCGAAGGUGGUUCGAGAGGACUGCUGGAGGUAUCAGAAGUGCGAAUGCUGACAUGAGUAACGUUAAAGCGGGUGAAAAGCCCGCUCGCCGUAAGCCCAAGGUUUCCUGCUCUACGUUCAUCGGAGCAGGGUGAGUCGGCCCCUAAGGCCAGGCUGAGAAGCGUAGUCGAUGGGAAGCAGAUUAAUAUUUCUGCACCAUGUGCAAGUGCGAUGGGGGGACGGAGUGCGAAAGAUCAUCCGGGUGUUGGAUGUCCCGGUUUGUGAGUGUAGAAGGCCGACAGGCAAAUCCGUCGGCGGAUCUUCGAGACAAAGCAUCGAGGUUCUACGGAACCGAAGUGAUCGGAAGUGCUUCCAGGAAAAGCCUCUAAGCUCCAGCUUGCAUGUGACCGUACCGUAAACCGACACUGGUGGGCGAGUUGAAUAUACUCAGGCGCUUGAGAGAACUCGGGAGAAGGAACUCGGCAAAUUGACACCGUAACUUCGGGAUAAGGUGUGCCUUUGUAGCGUGAAGAGAGAAACACUCGGAGCGUGAAGAGGCCUCAGAGAAUCGGUGGCUGCAACUGUUUAUUAAAAACACAGCACUCUGCAAAGACGAAAGUCGACGUAUAGGGUGUGAUGCCUGCCCGGUGCUGGAAGAUUAAGUGAUGGGGUGAGAGCUCCUGAUCGAAGUCCCAGUAAACGGCGGCCGUAACUAUAACGGUCCUAAGGUAGCGAAAUUCCUUGUCGGGUAAGUUCCGACCUGCACGA
rnacentral:rRNA from 1 species